GCCCUGGUGGUACAGUGGUUAAGCACUUGGCUGCUAACCAAAAGAUCAAGGGUUCGAACCCACCAGAGCA
rnacentral:tRNA from 1 species